UGGGGAAUAUUGCACAAUGGGCGCAAGCCUGAUGCAGCCAUGCCGCGUGUAUGAAGAAGGCCUUCGGGUUGUAAAGUACUUUCAGCGGGGAGGAAGGCGAUAAGGUUAAUAACCUUGUCGAUUGACGUUACCCGCAGAAGAAGCACCGGCUAACUGCGUGCCAGCAGCCGCGGUAAUACGGAGGGUGCAAGCGUUAAUCGGAAUUACUGGGCGUAAAGCGCACGCAGGCGGUCUGUCAAGUCGGAUGUGAAAUCCCCGGGCUCAACCUGGGAACUGCAUUCGAAACUGGCAGGCUAGAGUCUUGUAGAGGGGGGUAGAAUUCCAGGUGUAGCGGUGAAAUGCGUAGAGAUCUGGAGGAAUACCGGUGGCGAAGGCGGCCCCCUGGACAAAGACUGACGCUCAGGUGCGAAAGCGUGGGGAGCAAACA
rnacentral:rRNA from 1 species